CUUGAAAAUAAUUAGAUCUUAUCUGAGAGCAAUAGCUGAUUAUAUUGACAGUGACGAGUUAUCUUAUGUAAGAGACACUUCCAUUCAAAUUAUACAUCAUAAUGCAGCUAAGUACCGAGUUGAACCGACACAAAUUGAUCCGAUCGAUGAUCAUUAAUUUUACCCAAGAACAAUCGGCAGUUUCGUCUGCCUACGCUAGUUGUGCCAUUGGUAAAAGUCUGAUUUAUCAGUCGUAUCAGAAACUCUGAGUCCAAAACUCUUUGGACCAGAUAGUAUUAGCUAGAAUGUCCAAUUCGAAUUUAUGACCAGUAAAAAUUGUAGAAGUUCGCAAUUAUUUAUUGUAUGUUGGAUUUAUUUUACUAUAAGAAGAAAAAGUCGGAGUCUUAUCAAAAAAAGAUAUUAAAAAUUCACUGAAGAAGAUAUGAAUAACAAUAAUACCUUCAAUUAAACCCCUGAUUCAACGCAAGAAAACUUUAUAAAUCACGAACUCACGUCCAAGCUCACGCAUGUGAUUUCUUGAAUUACAAUUUACAACUUGCUGAAUGCCAACAGAGUUCGAUAAAGUUUCUGUGAGUUUUGUUGAAUCGUUGAAUUUUGUAAGAAAGUAUUACAAAUUUGAUUUGGAAAAAUAUAUUGUCAUUAACCCAUUAACGCACAAAAGUGCAAUUUUGUGCAUGAAAUUUCAAUUGUAAAAAAAUCUUGGGUAAAGUUAAAAUCGUCACUAUAAAUGGUAAAUAAUAGUGGUUCACGAGUAAAGUGGUUCACGAUAAAUGAUAAAUUUUAUCCGAAUUUUGAGUAUAUCUUUCAGUUAGCAGAAAGGAUGGUAACCUUUACAAUACAUUUUUCUAUGUGUAGCUCUGGGCCCCUAUUUUUAGCGAAAAAAUUAAUUUUUGCAAGCGAAUAUGGAUAUUUAUACUACAGUAUUUAUUUUUGUGUCGUCCACUUCACUCAAAAAUCACGUCCCUAUAAUAUCUCGCUAGAUGUCGUUUUCUGCGUUGAUACAUAAAUAAUAGUUUAAAUUAAAUAUCCGUAUUUAGAAAACAACAACCAUGUGUAAGAACUAUGUCUCCUGUAUACCCAAUUUUGCAAAAAAUAAAAACACAGUUGCUUCGCCCAAUAA